rnacentral:rRNA from 1 species
UACGAAGGGGCUAGCGUUGCUCGGAAUCACUGGCGUAAGCGCACGUAGGCGGAUUGUUAAGUCAGGGUGAAAUCCUGGAGCUCAACUCCAGAACUGCCUUGAUACUGGCGAUCUCGAGUCCGGAGAGGUGAGUGGAACUGCGAGUGUAGAGGUGAAUUCGUAGAUAUUCGCAAGAACACCAGUGGCGAAGGCGGCUCACUGGCCGGUACUGACGCUGAGGUGCGAAGCGUGGAGCAACAGG